CAAGUACCCCCUCCGACCGGAAUUACUUGUCAUAAAAAUGGAUGUUUCUAGAACUAAAAUACAUCUAGAUACAUCCAUUUCAAUGACAAGUAUUUUCGUACGGAGGGAGUACAAG
rfam:Triticum aestivum genome assembly, contig: Triticum_aestivum_CS42_TGACv1_scaffold_225905_3B